AACGAACGCUGGCGGUAGGCUUAACACAUGCAAGUCGAACGCCCCUUCCGUGGUGGGUGGCAGACGGGUGAGUAACGCGUGGGAAUCUACCCUUCUCUACGGGAUACUACCGUGUAACUGGAGUUAAUACCGUAUACGUUCUGCGGGUGCCAGAUUCAACGUGGGAGGAUGAGCACGCGUUGGACUAGCCUGUGGGUGGGGUAAAGGCCUAUGAAGGCGACGCUCCAUAGCUGGUCAAAGAGGAAGAUCAGCCACAUUGGGACUGGGACACGGCCCAAACUCCUACGGGAGGCAGCAGUGGGGGAUAUUGGACAAUGGGCGCAAGCCUGAUCCAGCCAUGCCGCGUGAGUGAUGAAGGCGCUAGGGUUGUGAAGCUCUUUCAGAGGGGACGAUAAUGACGGUACCCACAGAAGAAGCACCGGCUAACUUCGUG
rnacentral:rRNA from 1 species